rnacentral:rRNA from 1 species
UCCAGAGAUGGAUUGGUGCCUUCGGGAACUGUGAGACAGGUGCUGCAUGGCUGUCGUCAGCUCGUGUUGUGAAAUGUUGGGUUAAGUCCCGCAACGAGCGCAACCCUUAUCCUUUGUUGCCAGCGGUCAGGCCGGGAACUCAAAGGAGACUGCCAGUGAUAAACUGGAGGAAGGUGGGGAUGACGUCAAGUCAUCAUGGCCCUUACGACCAGGGCUACACACGUGCUACAAUGGCAUAUACAAAGAGAAGCGACCUCGCGAGAGCAAGCGGACCUCAUAAAGUAUGUCGUAGUCCGGAUUGGAGUCUGCAACUCGACUCCAUGAAGUCGGAAUCGCUAGUAAUCGUAGAUCAGAAUGCUACGGUGAAUACGUUCCCGGGCCUUGUACACACCGCCCGUCACACCAUGGGAGUGGGUUGCAAAAGAAGUAGGUAGCUUAACCUUCGGGAGGGCGCUUACCACUUUGUGAUUCAUGACUGGGGUGAAGUCGUAACAAGGUAACCGUAGGGGAACCUGCGGUUGGAUCACCUCCUUACCUUAAAGAA